GACCCCGCCCGCUGCGCCGUCCACACGCCACGCGACCCCGCCCGCCGCGCCGUACGCGCCACCGGACGGACCAGGGCAGCACGCCUCCCUCCCCUCCGGCGCCCUCACCCUGCACCGCACCUCGACUUCUCCCGGCGGCUGCUCGUCCGUCGCCCGUUCCCUUUGCUCUUGGCAAGGACUGAUCGAUCGCAUCAUUAUUUGAGAAACAACAACUCAAAGUCCGAGAAAAGAAUUCCAUGGAGAAAAACUGUUCUCGCGCUCCAUUUGACGAUUUGACAAACCACAACAAUGGAGGGGCUGAGAGCGCACCCAAUUCACAGUCAACAAACAAUGAUAAUAAGCAACGUAAGCGAGAAAGGGAGAGAGCAAGGUAUGCAGCAAUGUCUCACGAGGAGAAGAAUGCAAGAAAUCUCAGACUGCGUGAAGCGCGUCAAAAAAAGAAAGAAGAUCAGAAUCUCAUGGAAACAAACUGUGUUCGUGCUCCAUUUGGCGAUUUGACAAACCACACUAAUGGAGGGGCUGAAAGUGCACACAAUUCACCAUCAGCAAACAAUGAUAAUAUGCGCCGUAAGCGAGAAAGGGAGAGGGCAAGGUAUGCAACAAAGUCACAAGAAGAGAAGAAUGCAAGAAAUCUGAGGCUGCGUGAAGCGCAUCGAAAAAAGAAAGGUGCUAGAUGCAUUCCGAAAUUGUGGUGUUAUAAAUACAUUAUCUGUAGUCUGGAUGGGUCAAGAUUUCAGGGUUUUUACAAAUUAGCUGGACGUUUUAAUACUUCUACCUGCUUUGUAAUAUUUUUCUCAUGUAUUUCUAUUUUGGUUUUAGAGUAUGUGUGCUUGUCAUGAUAUGAGUAAAAGAAUACGAGUUUCUUGCAUUCCA